rnacentral:lncRNA from 1 species
GGACUCAAAGUGUAAAUAAACCUAAGCUACAGUGAUAACUAACUUAACUAACACUAAGAACACUAAGAACAAGAAGUAGAUGCAGAAAAAUAAACUCUAAAACUAAGAAAAAAUAAGAGAAAAUAAAAACCCUAGAAAAGUUGUAAAAAAACUAAAAGAAAACCUAGAGAAACUAAAGCUAAAAACUAAACCAAUGUAUGUCUCUUCCCUCCUCAGCCAAAAUUGGUUGUUUUAUGCUGAAUGUUGAUGAAUUUUCGUUGCUAAAACUACCCCUAUACGAGCCUUGGGUGAUUGGUGGACCGGGUGGACAAAGACUACCUUUUUGUCCAAUUUUGUCUCCCUCACGAUGUCGGUGUUGCGAUACCCAAAAGAGGAUAUCGCGAUACCUUAGGCAGUUUUGAACCUUGGGGUCUUAUUUAAGGGGUGGAUAUCACGAUACCCAAAGUGGGUAUUGCGAUACGACUGAAUGGUGGCCUCUAAUCUUUCAUCCUGUUGGAGGUAUCGCAAUUCCAAGAUAUGAAUAUCGUGAUACCCUUUCUUCUGGUGUCGUUUUUGCUGGUUUUCAACCUUCAACGCAUCCCUACACCAUUCAACCACAUGUUAGGCCUCCCAAUGACACCAUUGGCUAAAUUGAGUUACAAAAUGAGUAAAAAUGAGAAAUUUACACUUAUAAACUUAAAAUCUAAUGAUUACGAAAAACUAUGAAAAAUACGCUAUUUUGCUCGAAAAUAAGUUCCUUAAGUAUACCAGGAAAGCCUAAUUUGCCAUAUCAAAUUAUGCCAGAUUAUUAGGCAUACUCUUUCUUGAGUGUAUUAUUCCUUCACUUGAAGAUACCCUAUAAUUAAAUCCUUAGAUAUUGCUAAUGGGCGAAUACUUUAAUACUAGUAUGCGUCAAUACUCUAACCUGCCAACAAGCUAGGAGCGUGACGAAUCAUGCUACCCUAGUGCACCAAAUAGUAAACAUGCAUACCUCAUUCGCCUUGUUGGAUUCGCCAUUUUUGGGGUUUGACACGCACCCACGCCCAAAACAUACCAAACACGUCCAUCACACACAAGUCGUACACUAUCGCAGCUCCACACCCAUCCCUUGCAAUCCACUUGCAAUCGAGACCACCACACCCAACUGACACCCUUUUACCCUAUACACUAGAAAAGAGUUACCGCUUCU